rnacentral:lncRNA from 1 species
AGGUUCGAGACCUGGAGGAGCAGAUUGAGACGGAGAUGGGCAAGAAGACCCUCAGCAACUUGGACAAGAUCCGCGAGGACUACCGAGCCCUUCGCCAGGAGAAUGCUGGGCUCCUGGGCCGGGUCCGCGAGGCCUGAGCAGCCCCACCAGAGGUCUGCCCCCGGCCUCAGGCAGGGAUAUGGAGUGCUGGUGGCACUGGCCCUCGCUAUGCCCUCUGAUUACCAUCCAGUUCCUCCUGCUGCAGCCUUGGCCCCAGACCCUCGCCCACCUCACCCCGACCCUUAUCUGGGGCAAUCAUCCAGAGUGUGGGAGCUUGGCUUCAGUUUAUUGUGGAGGGCAUGGGGCGGGGGUUGGGGUCUUGGAUCUCAAAUAAAUGAGGGGCUCUGUCUGCAGUCAAAGCUGAGGCAUGGAACAGGGUGCAGGGCUCAGGGUGGGGGAGGGGUGGGUGGCAGGUGAGACACUGGAUACAUUUGGUGAGUUGGUGUGUGUAGCCCUGGGCAUCUGCCUGGGACUCCNNNNNNNNNNNNNNNNNNNNNNNNNNNNNNNNNNNNNNUGAGAUGUGCUGGUGAGUUCAGAGUCUGUGUGACCAAGCAUGUUUGUCGGGAGCCAUGCGUUACCAUGUGUGACCUGCGUGCAUGCGUCUGGGUGGCUUUCUGGAGCCUGACUUCCUGAAGGUCCUAAGGCUGCUUCUGUGCUGUUGUCAGGGCCUGCCUCAUGUGACACUGCACCUGUGGGCCUGGAAGCCAGCUGUGGGUAUGUGCUUUGGGGG